rnacentral:lncRNA from 1 species
UUACAGGUUCAUGAUAGGUGACCUUAACUUUUCUAUUGAUGCAUCUGUAUCCAUUUUGUAACAUUCUAUUAAGACUAUCUAACCAUGAUUUGACAUGGCUUCUUUGGUUCAUUUUGAAUUGCACCUUACUUGGAGCAUAGAAUGAAAAUGAUGUGCUGCAUUUUCUGAUCUUUUCUGAUCUAAUGGUCCUUAAAGCAAGUCAAUGUUGUUUUCUUCAUUAAACAUAGGUUGUGCUUGUUCUCAACCUGAUUUAU